rnacentral:lncRNA from 1 species
AUGCCGUUUCUUUCCAAGGAAUCUCAACCUUUGCACACACCGACACUGUCACAGGACCACGUGCCCUUAUCCUCUCCCUGCCCCACACCAUCACUUACAUAAACUGCUUCAUGAUAUUGAUAAAUAUUUGUGACCGUUCUUACUCACACCUCAGUGUGAAUGCAUCCCUCUGACUGAACCUCUAAUCCGGGUCUUAUUGUGAUAUUAAAGCCAAGGCCCUCAAUGAGGUAAAAGUUGUGACAUCACAAUUUGGAGAAAGAUGGGACGGAGAAAACUCUCCACGCCUGAAACUGCACCGCAAACCAAAGGCUGUCACUCUGUCUGCACAGAAGCACAGCUAAACUGGGGCUCCCUCUGCCCAUUGUAAGGCCAUCGGACCAUGAACAGCUCAGUGGAAUCAUUAAGGUUCUGGGGAUGCCCUCUGCCCAGUUUCUUGUAGUUGACCUCUGCUAUGUGUCACUGGGUGCACACAUUUCUCUCGAGUGCUUUGUGAGUAAUUAUUUCUUGUUAGCAAUUUAAGGAGUAUCAUAGUGAAUGGCUUGGAUUUUCGUCAUCAUGCCUCCCAUUCUGCUGGUGUGGCUAACAUAUCACUGGCUUCUUCCUCUGCUGGAGGCUCCCCACCUGGCUUCCCCUUUGCAACCACUGAGUUGAAGGACAAACUAAAACUCCUGUUUUAGGGAGUUGGCUAAAUAAAAUCCCAAAUUGGGUUACACAGAGCGGUCAUUUAGCAAAAUCCCCUUUCCUGACUUCCAAACCUCAUUCUUCCUGCUUUGAAAUAAAUUCCCAUUCACCACUCACACAGGUAGACUUUUCUUGAAGGCUGAGAAACAUCCUCUGUGCAGUUUUUCCCAGCCCAACCUCACAUGACUCCAGGACAGCAGAGAGAAGGCGCAGCGUUGUGGAAAUAUCUUCAGAAGAUCAAAAGAGCAUUGCGAGUCUCCCAUCCUCAACAAUUGAACACUGCGCUAAGAGGUUGUUAUACGCCUCUUGUUGUUAUAAAACCGACCUGAAAAUCCCACUUGGGAGGUAGGUGGGUUGCACUGCGUUUGGGGCCAGAGCCAUCUAGGGAGCUUCUGUGUUUCCUAGGAGACAGAACAUCCGAGCUUUCUUUUCUAGUUGAGCAGAACAGGAUUUAGAGGUGAAGGUACAGGUUUUGUUAAAGAGUCAGAGAAGGGGUGUUUAUAGUCUGCUCCCUUGGAACUCUUUUUCUGGUUUUAUUUUGUUCUGGUUUUGAAUCUUUACCUCUCAGUGCCUAUUUAUCUAAGGGCUCCUAACAUUUUAACGUCAGGGAGGCUACAGGUGCUGCGGUUAUUGCACCUGGACCCUUUUCUGUUUCCAAUGCAGUUCAAGCUCCUGGGGAUCCCAGGAUGGAUAUAUUUUCUCUCCCACGCCACUCAGUUUAUCCCGGGCCUGAUCUGCUACAUUGAUUCCCUCCCGGGACUCCACUACUAUGUAACUUUACUGCACAUGUCCCCCAAUGGCCACUGUUGCACAGAGUAAAUAGCUUUGCAAAAUGCUUCAUCUUUUUUUUUUCUUUUUGAAUUAUCUGUGUAAGAUAGAGCAAGCUAGUAAUAGAACUCAGUAGGAAAUUAUAUUGGGAUCUGGAAGAGGCAGUUAUCACCAUGUGAAAUAAUUUUGUUAAGAAGACAUAUAUUCAACAUUACUAAGCCUGCAUCUCCUGAUGUCCUUUGCUGAGAUUAUCCAUUGUGCUUAUCUCAGUAAACUGUAUGGUCAGAGAGCUCCUUAGCAUUCAAACCACAACCCAGCUUUCCCUGGGUCUCAUUCACUCUUGGUAUCGAUACUGCCACACACAAAGAGUUGACUUAUCUGGUGUAACCUUGCGGCUUAUAGAGGAUACUGCACCAUGGGUUCCAAGACUCUUUCAGAUCAUGAAAAACUGUACUAAACUUCUAUUCCCAGAAAAGCAGCCCCAGCCAUCAUCUAAGGCCCCACAUUAUUCAGGGAGACGUCUAAGCAUUGUCUGCAGAAUUAGGGUCUCUCUCCACAAUUUACUACAGGCCUUGGUCUCCUCACCACUGUUCUAAAGUUUCCUUUGGUCACUGUCUCCUGCAGUCACACCAUAUGUAAAUGGAUCUCUCUUGGCCAAGGGCAGUCCCCACAACUGCACUAGAUCGAUGUCAGCUACGUACUCUCGAUCCUGGUUCCUGAGCGACUCUCUGAAGUCAGCAGUUUCCAAACUUUCGUGUGCUUCAAAAUGACCUAUAGCUCUUCUUAAAACAUGGAUUGCUAGUCCACAGCCCCAGAAUUUCUGAUUCACUAAAUUUGGAGCAGGGCCCCCAGCUUUCCUUUCUAAUGACUUCUCAAUCUAUGCUGAUGCUGCUGCCUGGGGGAUCACACUUUAAGAACCACUGCUUUAAAGAAAUGAUUUUUUUUUUUUGAUUUUUCGAUUGUAUUUUUCUUACCAAAUUGCUAUGUGAUCUGCACUCCUCGAGAGUUCUAUUGGACAGUAUAUCUGCCAUAAACAUCUUUAAUAUGUUGCCUUAAAGAUUUAGAGCAGGGCAGGCGUUCAACAGACCUGACUAGUAUCCGUGAGGAUGCAGGUUCAAUCCCUGGCCUCGCUCAGUGGGUUAAGCCUCGCUCGUUGCUGUGGCUGUGGUGUAGGUUGCAGAUGCAGCUCUAUUUGGCCCCUAGCCCAGGAAUUUGCAUAUGUCACAGGUGUGGCC